GGGGAUAUAGCUCAGUGGUAACAGCGUAUGCUUAGCAUGCAUGAAGUCCUGGGUUCAAUCCCCAGUACUUCCA
rnacentral:tRNA from 1 species